rnacentral:rRNA from 1 species
GAUGAACGCUGGCGGCGUGCCUAAUACAUGCAAGUCGAGCGAACAGACGAGGAGCUUGCUCCUCUGACGUUAGCGGCGGACGGGUGAGUAACACGUGGAUAACCUACCUAUAAGACUGGGAUAACUUCGGGAAACCGGAGCUCAUACCGGAUAAUAUAUUUAACCGCAUGGUUCAAUAUUGAAAGACGGUUUUGCUGUCACUUAUAGAUGUAUCCGCGCCGCAUUAGCUAGUUGGUAAGGUAACGGCUUACCAAGGCAACGAUGCGUAGCCGACCUGAGAGGGUGAUCGGCCACACUGGAACUGAGACACGGUCCAGACUCCUACGGGAGGCAGCAGUAGGGAAUCUUCCGCAAUGGGCGAAAGCCUGACGGAGCAACGCCGCGUGAGUGAUGAAGGUCUUCGGAUCGUAAAACUCUGUUAUUAGGGAAGAACAAAUGUGUAAGUAACUAUGCACGUCUUGACGGUACCUAAUCAGAAAGCCACGGCUAACUACGUG